GAUGAACGCUGGCGGCGUGCUUAACACAUGCAAGUCGAACGAUGAAGCCCAGCUUGCUGGGUGGAUUAGUGGCGAACGGGUGAGUAACGCGUGAGUAACCUGCCCUUAACUCUGGGAUAAGCCUGGGAAACUGGGUCUAAUACCGGAUAGGAGCGUCCACCGCAUGGUGGGUGUUGGAAAGAUUUAUCGGUUUUGGAUGGACUCGCGGCCUAUCAGCUUGUUGGUGAGGUAAUGGCUCACCAAGUCGACGACGGGUAGCCGGCCUGAGAGGGUGACCGGCCACACUGGGACUGAGACACGGCCCAGACUCCUACGGGAGGCAGCAGUGGGGAAUAUUGCACAAUGGGCGCAAGCCUGAUGCAGCGACGCCGCGUGAGGGAUGACGGCCUUCGGGUUGUAAACCUCUUUCAGUAGGGAAGAAGCGAAAGUGACGGUACCUGCAGAAGAAGCACCGGCUAACUACGUG
rnacentral:rRNA from 1 species